UAGAAAAGAUACAGCAAAAAUCAACGAGUGAUUUUAAGUUUAAAAUGAAAGUGUAAUUCGCAGAAAAACGAAAUAGUGACUAAAGUAGAAAAAAGACAGCAAUUCGCCGUAUAGCAAAAUGCUAAUAAUGAUACAACAGUGACAGUAGAAACCAACAAGGGAAUUUGAAGUUGAAGAAUAAUUCGCCGCAUAGUAUUAUACUAAACAGAAUAGAAAAGAGACAAUAAAAAUCAACAAGUGAAUUUAAAGUGCCCUGGAGACGAUCAAAUAAUUGCGUCAAACAUUGCAUAUGUGUUAGUGAUGUGCACGUUGAUGUUUGUGUUAAUUUAAAACAAAAUACAGUGAUGCGAGAAGCAAUACCAGCUAACAUGCGUUUGUCAGCAACAUUGAGAUAUUUGGCGACUGGAGAUAAAUUUGAAAAUCUUAAAUUUAUAACUACAAUUUCUCGUAGAUCCCUUGGAUUGAUUAUUAUUGAAACUUGUUAGUUAAUUAUUUCGUCGCUUUCAGCAUUCAUAAAGGGUUGUUAUGGAAUUAAAAAUAACUCCAUAGGUCCCGCAAUCACCAUACAUUAAUCCUAUUCAAAAUAUCUGGAACUUUUUGGAAAAUCGUAUUCGAAAACAUCGAAUUUCAUCAAAAUAAGGCCAAAAAGCUGGAUCAUGGACUUAGUGGGUCAAAAUAUCCGGAUUUAAUACUAGAAAUGGAAUGGGGAGCAUACAUCGAUGUCUAGGGACUUGCUAUUAUAGGCCAAAAACCGCUAAAACUAUUGGUUAGAUUCUCACAAAAUAUUUGUGAAACCACUGUCACUGACCAGGGUCAGUAGCAAUCACGAUCUGAAGAAACGCAAUUGCAGCCGCAAGGGCAUGCGCAGGAGUUGGAAGUGCCAUCACCGUUAUGGCCCUUGUCGCCAGUAAGCCCAAUAACAAUAUCGCUGCCGUCGCCUCCUUUCCCCGUGGCGCAAAGCGUACAUCUCCGGCUCCUUCCACAUAAACCUCGCUUUCCUCACCAUCCUGCUCUACGCAGGUGGCUACCAAAAAGGACAGAAAGCGAAGGUCAUCUGUGUCAACUACUAGCGAGGUUGACCAGAAAAUGAUUGAAGCCAUCGAACUUUUUAAGAAUAAAUGGUCAUCAACCCAACUAACUCAGCAAAGCCAGCAACAACAACCCGCAAACCGGGCUGUGCACUCGUUCAGCACUUUAAUCGUUUCCUUUGGACGAGGAAAAGCAAGCUAGGGCAAUAGAGAAAAUGUUACAAGCUGCGUUUGAAGUACAGAGAGGAGCGUAAUAUUAAAUAAAAUGUUAAAUUAAUUUAUUGUAUAAGAUUUAAUAUAUAGGGUUAUGAAGUAUUCAUUUUUAAAUUAUUAUUUUAGUUUCAUUAAA